CACCUCUCAGUCUCGCACCUGGAGAGUUUCCAGUACUCUACCUGUCUCGACUACGGGAGGGAGAGUCAAGCAGAGGCAUAUUCAUUCCAGUCCUAGCUUGGGCAGUAGCUAGCGAGCGGAAGGCAAUCGGCUACAAGU